GUCCCCGUAGUUCAAUGGAUAGAAUAACUCCGUCCUAAGGAGCAGAUCUGCGUUCGAGUCGCGGCGGGGAUACCA
rnacentral:tRNA from 1 species